GAUGAACGCUGGCGGCGUGCCUAAUACAUGCAAGUCGAGCGAACAGACGAGUAGCUUGCUCCUCUGACGUUAGCGGCGGACGGGUGAGUAACACGUGGAUAACCUACCUAUAAGACUGGGAUAACUUCGGGAAACCGGAGCUAAUACCGGAGAAUAUAUUGAACCGCAUGGUUCAAUAGUGAAAGACGGUUUUGCUGUCACUUAUAGAUGGAUCCGCGCCGCAUUAGCUAGUUGGUAAGGUAACGGCUUACCAAGGCAACGAUGCGUAGCCGACCUGAGAGGGUGAUCGGCCACCAUGGAACUGAGACACGGUCCAGACUCCUACGGGAGGCAGCAGUAGGGAAGCUUACGCAAUGGGCGAAAGCCUGAUGGAGCAACGCCGCGUGAGUGAUGAAGGUCUUCGGAUCGUAAAACUCUGUUAUUAGGGAAGAACAAAUGUGUAAGUAACUAUGCACGUCUUGACGGUACCUAAUCAGAAAGCCACGGCUAACUACGUG
rnacentral:rRNA from 1 species